AACGAACGCUGGCGGCAGGCUUAACACAUGCAAGUCGAACGCCCCGCAAGGGGAGUGGCAGACGGGUGAGUAACGCGUGGGAACAUACCCUUUUCUACGGAAUAGCUCUGGGAAACUGGAAUUAAUACCGUAUACGCCCUACGGGGGAAAGAUUUAUCGGGGAAGGAUUGGCCCGCGUUGGAUUAGCUAGUUGGUGGGGUAAAGGCCUACCAAGGCGACGAUCCAUAGCUGGUCUGAGAGGAUGAUCAGCCACAUUGGGACUGAGACACGGCCCAAACUCCUACGGGAGGCAGCAGUGGGGAAUAUUGGACAAUGGGCGCAAGCCUGAUCCAGCCAUGCCGCGUGAGUGAUGAAGGCCUUAGGGUUGUAAAGCUCUUUCACCGAUGAAGAUAAUGACGGUAGUCGGAGAAGAAACCCCGGCUAACUUCGG
rnacentral:rRNA from 1 species